GACGUAGGGCGCGAGCGUUGUCCGGAUUUAUUGGGCGUAAAGAGCUCGUAGGCGGUUUGUCGCGUCGGUUGUGAAAACCUGCAGCUCAACUGCAGGCUUGCGGUCGAUACGGGCAGGCUAGAGUUCGGUAGGGGAGACUGGAAUUCCUGGUGUAGCGGUGAAAUGCGCAGAUAUCAGGAGGAACACCGGUGGCGAAGGCGGUUCUCUGGGCCUGUACUGACGCUGAGGAACGAAAGCGUGGGGAGCGAACAGG
rnacentral:rRNA from 1 species